rnacentral:tRNA from 1 species
AGGAUAAUAGUUAAAAUAACGUUUAAAUUGCAAUUAAAAAUUAUUGGUCUACCAAUUUAUCUUU